CUCCCUCUUCUCACUGUCUCAAGUGAUAAAAGGCUGAAAGUGCCCCAGUGCUUGUCUCUAUAUCCAUUUUUCUUAAAUCAAAUAAAAUCUUCCCACCUGACUUCAAAUUUGGCCUCUCCCCAAUUAUUCAUUUAACUGUAGAAAUUUGAAGAAAUGUCACUGUAGCUGAUUUUUCAUCUCUGAUUUAAACUUAAGGCUACAUUUUCAUGUUCUAUCAUCCAACAGGUUUGCUACCAGCACAAGAGACUUCCUUCUUGAGCACUCAUUUGAUGGAUUGGAUCUGGACUGGGAGUUUCCGUCGUGGCCAGCAGUAAAGAGAGAGAAAUGUGAAAAACAUCUUUUUAGCGAACUUGUUCGUCAUCUCCAUGACAGUCUGAAGGUUUUAUGUAUUCACAGAUGUGCUUCUUAUUAGUGUAUGUUGACUUUGUUUCUCUCAUGGGAUAUGACUAUCACAUAUUUUGGCCGUACCUUCCCUUCACAGGGCACAAUGCCCCUUUGAUGAAACGAAGUGGAGAAAAGUUAUAUUUUGCUACUAUGAACAUACAAUGGUCGUCUUUAUAUUGGUUGGAGAAGGGCAUGACUAAAGAAAAAUUAGUCAUUGGGAUUCCAACUUUCGGGAGAUCUUGGAGAUUGAUGAACUCUUCUUGGAGCAAUGUUUGGUCACCAGCCAUUGGUGAAGGCAUGUGUAAUGGAAUAUUAUCAUACCCUGAAGCAGUAUCAUUUUUGAAAGAAGGAGGAGAGCAGUAUUUUGAUGAAGAAAGUAGAGUUCCAUAUGCCAGUAGAAAUAAAGAUUGGAUUUCAU